rnacentral:hammerhead_ribozyme from 1 species
AUCAGCUGACGAGUCUUAACUAAGACGAAACACAUGUCCUAGAU